AGACGUCUACAUUAGAUACCCCUGUAGUCCCAGCCGUAAACUAUGCGCGUUAGGUGUAUCGGUGACCACGAGUUACCGAGGUGCCGAAGGGAAACCGUGAAACGUGCCGCCUGGGAAGUACGGUCGCAAGGCUGAAACUUAAAGGAAUUGGCGGGGAGCACCACAACGGGUGGAGCCUGUGGUUUAAUUGGACUCAACGCCGGGAAGCUCACCGGAUAAGACAGCGGAAUGAUUGCCGGGCUGAAGACUCUGCAUGACUAGCUG
rnacentral:rRNA from 1 species